CACAACAUUGUGAAUUAUUCACUAAUUAUUAACCCUCAAAGGUAGCACAAUUUAAUCCAGAUGUUUAUGGAAUGCUUAUUGUUUUUGAUGAAUAGAAUAACCCUUUACCUUAAGUAUGAAGAUAGUUUGAAAGUGACAGCCAGAUGGAAUAGGACUAUGAUAAUAGAUAUGUCUGCCAAACUAUUAUUCUAUCAGUUUAAUUAAAAUAAUCAUUGGAAAGUCUGAUUUUCUGAAUCAAUUUCUUAGAAAAUAAAAUUUAGGCCAGGCGCGG
rnacentral:lncRNA from 10 species